UCGGGAACCAGGUGUCCAGGGGACAACUCCUGAGCCUCUUGGGAGAGAUGAGCCCAGAGAAUGGUUCUAGAUUUCUUCUGGGCUUUGCACAGAGGGUGGAGGGGAAAGGGCCGGUCCUGACCUGCAAAGAGUGGAGACAGGAGAGAGACCCACCUUCCAGCUUCUGUGUCUACUGUCGUGGGUGCUCCAGCGUGGAGACGGGUCUGAGGCCAAGCAUCUCACAGCACCAUUCUUCCUCCCUGGAGCACCAGGGAAGGAACUGGAAAUGAGGCUGG